UACGAAGGGGGCUAGCGUUGCUCGGAAUUACUGGGCGUAAAGGGAGCGUAGGCGGGUUAUCAAGUUGGGGGUGAAAGCCCGGGGCUCAACCUCGGAAUUGCCUUCAAAACUGGUAGCCUAGAGUAUGAUAGAGGUAUGUGGAACUCCGAGUGUAGAGGUGAAAUUCGUAGAUAUUAGGAAGAACACCGGUGGCGAAGGCGGCCCACUGGAUCGGUACUGACGCUGAGGUGCGAAAGCGUGGGGAGCAAACGGG
rnacentral:rRNA from 1 species